AGUAAUUAAAGAAAAAAAUACAACAAAGGUAACUCAACUAUUGGAUAGAUUCUUGAAAAAAAAAAUAAAAAAUCCGACACUCAACUGUAGGAAGAAGGAAGGAAUGACAAUGGGACUUGAGUUUUCCCAUCACCAUAUCAAAGAAAGAAACAAAAGUUAGACUUCAGACUUGAGACAACAACAUACUCUAGUUAGAUUCUAGCACUCUUGACUUUUUCUUUUUUUGUCUGAGCUGAAAUUUCCUGGAAUAAGUAGUUAAGCACCAUGUUUUCCACAGCGGGUUUGUUGUAAAUAUCAAAUGGGAUGGAAACUAAACUGAAUUGACAGGAAAUUUCUCGUUAAUAAAAAAGGGGAAAGAAAAAACAAGGCUGGACGUCAUUUCUUUUCUUUGAAAAGCUUGACUUGAUAUCCAAGUCCUCGUCUCCCUCCGUACAACAUGGAAAUGGUUUUGGUUUUCGUUUCAGAUUCCUGAGUGAGUUAUUAGGUUAUGGUUCAGUCACAGAUAAAAGGGCUUCAUCUCAGCACUUUUUCUUUCGCAGGUGAUAUUCAAGGACGUUUUUUCAGAGACUAUUGUAAUGCAUACGGUAAAUAGAGGAGGUUGUUCGAAGGGAGAAACGAUGCAUUAUGAAAUCCCAUAAUUGAUCUCUAGUUGGGGAGCGAUAAUCAGUCUUCUUUAACAUUAUUAAAGAAACGGGAAAAUAAUUGGUUCUAAUGGCGAUGGAACUCAUACCGAUUGGGACCAUCUUAGCUGUGGUAACAAACCAGGUAAUUAAAACAGCUCAGGCUGCAAAGGAUGUUGUAAUUGAGAAGGAUAGUUUCAAGGUCCUCGCAAAGCAUCUCUUUGAUAUUGAGCCUGUUUUAAAAGAAUUGCAGCUUCAACAACUGAAUGAUUCUCAAGCAGCAAGACUAGCUCUGGAGUCUCUGGAAGCAGAUGUCAAGAAGGCAAAUAACUUGGUUGAGAAAUACAAAAAUCGAGGCCGUUUCUACUUACUUGUCAAGUGCCGGCACAUUGUUAAUGAGGUGCAAGAAGUUACAAGGGAUAUUGGAAGGUCUUUGGCUUCAUUGUCCAUUGCAAAUACUGAAGUACUUUCAGGGAUAUCUGAUCAGGUCAAUAGGCUACAAAGUGAGAUGCAAAGAGUAGAAUUCGAGACUUCACAUUCUCAACUCCAAAUUGUUGACAAAUUAAACCAGGGUCUUAGGGAUCAGAAACGUGACCAGGGUUUUGCAAAUGACAUGCUUGAAGAAAUUGCAAGGGCAGUUGGGGUACCUGUUGAGCCAUCUGAAAUUAGCAAGGAGCUAGCAAGCUUCAGAAGGGAAAUAGAAGAAGCUGGCAAUAGGAAAGAAAGAGCUGAAGUUCUCUUCUUGGAGCAAGUUAUUGAGCUGCUUUCUCAAGCAGAUGCAGCAAGAGAUUAUGAAGAAAUGAAGAAGCAGUAUUUCCAAAGGGCACAAGUUAUAGAACGAUAUGAUGCAACGAAAGAAGACAUUCCUCCACUUAAAUCUUUCAUUUGUCGUAUAAGUGGGACAGUAAUGGUUGAUCCUGUAAGCCUUUGCACUGGUACUACAUGUGAGAGAGCUGCUAUUGAAGCUCAGUUUGAUUGUGGGCAGAAAACUGAUCCAGAAACUGGAGAUGUUCUUGAAGUUACUUCUUUGAGGUCUAACCUUCCACUCAGACAAUCAAUAGAGGAGUGGAGAGAACUGAAUUAUUGCCUUAAAAUCAGAGCUUGUGAGGCAAAGUUGUCAUCAGGUGUCGAUUCGUCUGUAUUGGAGGCCCUGAACCAAAUGCAGGAUCUUAUCAGAGAAAACACUAUAAACAAGGACUGGAUUUCCAUAGGAGGGCUUACUGAUAGUAUAAUCUCUAUCCUUGGAAGCUCACACAACAGAGAAGUCAAGAAGAAGAUUUUAAUCAUUUUAAAAGAUCUGGUGGAAGGGCAUGCAAGAAAUAAGGAAAAAGUGACUGAGCAUCAGGGGUUGGAUCACAUUGUUCCCUGUUUAGGACGUGACCGAAGCAUCUCAAUGGCUGCAGUUGAACUGCUAUAUGAGUUAUUGCAAGAUAGAUCCAAUUGGAAUGUGUCUGUUUGCCACCAACUCUCUCAGAAAUGCAGCGGAAUUCUUUUUCUUGUUACUCUUCUAAAGGGUCCAGUCAGGGAGUCAGCAGAAUAUGCCGAAAAAAUACUAAAUAAGCUUUUUGAUGUUGAUGAGGAGAACAUAUCUCGAGCUGCCCGGUCAGGGUGGUAUAAACCACUCAUUGAUCGCAUUGUUCAAGGGCCAGAGUCAUCAAGGAUGUCAAUGAUGAAAGCAUUAGUUACUAUGGAAUUGGUUGAUUCGAAUUUAAAACUCCUUGGUGAGGAAGGCAUUAUGCCUUCUUUGCUUUCAAUGGUGGAUUCUGGCAAUCUUGAAUCAAAAGAGUUGUCCUUAUCUGUUUUGGUUAAACUAUCUGGUUGCCGUGCUAAUAAAGAGCUUAUUGCUGCUGCUGGUGGAGUUCCUCUUGUUCUGAAGCUAAUGUUCUCUCCCCAUGUACGUGCAAUUCUUAUAUUCAGAUGCUCUGAAAUUGUUGAGAAACUUUCUUCUGAAGGUGAUGGAGUUAAAUUCUUUGUUGAUGAAAAAGGGGUUCCACUUGAAAUGGAGCCCAUCAUCAUUGAUUUGUUGGCUUUGCAGCAGAAUGUUAAUUCAUCCAACAAUUACCGAAGGCCUGCUUUACGUGCACUUUUAGGAAUUUGCAAGUCUGAAGCUGGGCUGGUUAAGACAGCUGUUCUCACUGCCAAUGGUGUAUCUCUGGUCCUUCCUCUUCUUGAUGAUCCUGACUCAGUAGUUAGAGAAAUUUCUAUAAAUCUUCUUUUCCUAUUUUCUCAGCAUGAGCUACAAGGAGUAGUGGAAUACCUUCUUAAACCCAAAAGGUUGGAGGCUCUAGUGGGGUUUCUUGAAAAUGGCAACAAUAGUGAUGUCCAGAUGGCUGCCGCUGGUCUAUUAGCCAACCUCCCAAAAUCUGAAGUACCACUAACUAUGAAAUUAAUCGAGUUGGAUGGACUUCAUGCAAUCAUAAAUCUUUUGAAAUCAGGGACAAUGGAAGCAAAAGAACAUGCUUUAAGUGCUCUCUUCCGGUUUACAGAUCCCAAUAAUGUUGAGUCACAGCGGAUUGUGGUUCAACAAGGAGCUUACCCUUUGCUUGUAAGUUUCCUCAGAGUUGGUACGGUAACAGCAAAGGCAAGAGCAGCAGCUCUUAUUGGUAAUCUAUCCAUGAGCAGUCCUAAGCUCACUAUUGUGUCCAAAAAAACUGGUUGCUGGUGUUUUAGAACAUCACGUGUUCCUUUAUGCCCAGCACAUGGUGGUAUAUGCAAUGUAGAAGAUUCCUUUUGUCUGUUGGAGGCAAAAGCGCUGCCUUACUUAGUAAAACUCUUACAUGAAGAAGUUGAAGCAACUGCUUAUGAAGCAAUUCAGACGGUUUCCACAUUGGUUCAGGAUAGCUGUCUGCAAAAAGGAGUCAAUGUCUUGCAUGAGGCUGAAGCCAUAAAGCCUGUGUUAGAGAUUUUGAGUUGGGGAACAGAUUCUCUGAAGGAAGAGGCACUGGGGCUCCUUGAGAAGGUUUUUGUGUCAAGGGAAAUGGUGGAAAACUAUGGAUCGAAAGCUAGAUACCUUCUGGUUGGUCUAACUGGCAGGAAUGUUAACGAUGAUGGUCGUCCAGGGAGAAAGGUUGCAAAAGUUUUGUCACUUCUCGAACGUUAUUCAAAAUCAUCAACAUCUAUUAUUCCAGGAUUAUUUUGAUAGGGACAUAUGUUAUCAGGAACUGAUUCCUAAUGCUCAUUGGUUACACUUGACCAACAUUUUGAUGAAACCCCAGCUGAAGAUGGGAGUUCAGAUUCUUCAUGAACAACAAACUUUAACCUCAGAGUCAAACCAGCUACACCACAUGGCCUUGUUAGCAACAAUACCGACAAUGCGCAUUUAAGGUUCCAUUUAAUGUUAUGGAAGAAAUUGUCUCAUGUCUCUUGUUUCUUGCUUGAACUGUCUAUCAAACUCUCUGAUACGAUCAUCUUGGCUGAUAGAAGUGAGCAGAAGGCAUUCAAAUACACUGGAAUUACUUGCUUUAAUCCAGUUUCCUUCUCAGAUGAUAGCUCAUUUGUUGCAUAUCGUCCUUGCACUCAGGAAGUUGAGUUUUCAGCCUUGUGAGGUUCAAAAGUUUCCUUUAGAAUGCAGAGAAAUGAACAAGCGAAAAAAGAAAUGCUAUAUUUUUUCGUUGUCCAUUGACAAAAUUGUUGAGAUUAAGUUACUAAUGUCAUAGCACUCGCAGAUUAACCUGUCAAAAAAAAAAAAAAAACUCUCUGAUUUAGACAUUGUUCCCUAUUAAAUGAAAAGUUUGGUUUACUAA